rnacentral:rRNA from 1 species
AUUGAACGCUGGCGGCAGGCUUAACACAUGCAAGUCGAGCGAGGGAAGGUAGCUUGCUACUGGACCUAGCGGCGGACGGGUGAGUAAUGCUUAGGAAUCUGCCUAUUAGUGGGGGACAACAUCUCGAAAGGGAUGCUAAUACCGCAUACGUCCUACGGGAGAAAGCAGGGGAUCUUCGGACCUUGCGCUAAUAGAUGAGCCUAAGUCGGAUUAGCUAGUUGGUGGGGUAAAGGCCUACCAAGGCGACGAUCUGUAGCGGGUCUGAGAGGAUGAUCCGCCACACUGGGACUGAGACACGGCCCAGACUCCUACGGGAGGCAGCAGUGGGGAAUAUUGGACAAUGGGCGCAAGCCUGAUCCAGCCAUGCCGCGUGUGUGAAGAAGGCCUUAUGGUUGUAAAGCACUUUAAGCGAGGAGGAGGCUACUUUAGAUAAUACCUAGAGAUAGUGGACGUUACUCGCAGAAUAAGCACCGGCUAACUCUGUGCCAGCCGCCGCGGUAAAAC